rnacentral:rRNA from 1 species
GACGAACGCUGGCGGCGUGCCUAAUACAUGCAAGUAGAACGCUGAAGAGAGGAGCUUGCUCUUCUUGGAUGAGUUGCGAACGGGUGAGUAACGCGUAGGUAACCUGCCUUGUAGCGGGGGAUAACUAUUGGAAACGAUAGCUAAUACCGCAUAACAAUGGAUGACACAUGUCAUUUAUUUGAAAGGGGCAAUUGCUCCACUACAAGAUGGACCUGCGUUGUAUUAGCUAGUAGGUGAGGUAAUGGCUCACCUAGGCGACGAUACAUAGCCGACCUGAGAGGGGGAUAGGACAACCUGGGAACGAGACACGGGCCAGACCCCCAAGGGAGGCAGCAGUAGGGAAUUUUUGGCAAUGGGGGCAACCCUGACCGAGCAACGCCGCGUGAGUGAAGAAGGUUUUCGGAUCGUAAAGCUCUGUUGUAAGUCAAGAACGGGUGUGAGAGUGGAAAGUUCACACUGUGACGGUAGCUUACCAGAAAGGGACGGCUAACUACGUG